rnacentral:tRNA from 1 species
GGAGCGUUGGCCGAAUGGCAAAGCGCGCGGUCCUUCCACCCGUGGCAUGGACCGGCGGCCCGGCAUCGCCGGAGCAGGUUCGAUUCCUGCACGCUCCC